rnacentral:rRNA from 1 species
AUACGUAGGGGGCGAGCGUUGUCCGGAAUGAUUGGGCGUAAAGGGCGCGUAGGCGGCGCGGUAAGUCUGGAGUGAAAGUCCUGCUUUCAAGGUGGGAAUUGCUUUGGAUACUGCCGCGCUUGAGUGCAGGAGAGGUUAUCGGAAUUCCCGGUGUAGCGGUGAAAUGCGUAGAGAUCGGGAGGAACACCAGUGGCGAAGGCGGGUAACUGGACUGCAACUGACGCUGAGGCGCGAAAGUGUGGGGAGCAAACAGGAUUAGAUACCCUGGUAGUCCACGCAGUAAACGAUGAUGGCUAAACGCUGGGCUUAUCAGUUCAGUGGCCAAGCGAAAGCGAUAAGCCAUCCACCUGGGGAGUACGACCGCAAGGUUGAAACUCAAAUGAAUUGGCGGGG